UACGUAGGGGGCGAGCGUUGUCCGGAGUUACUGGGCGUAAAGGGCAUGCAGGCGGUCGGACGCGUUUAGGGUGACAGCGGGUGGCUUAACUUCCCGAGUGGUCGAAAGACGGUUUGACUUGAGGACGCGAGAGGGACACGGAAUUCCGGGUGGAGUGGUGAAAUGCGUAGAGAUCCGGAGGAACACCGAAGGCGAAGGCAGUGUCCUGGCGCGUAACUGACGCUGAGGUGCGAAAGCCAGGGGAGCGAACGGG
rnacentral:rRNA from 1 species